ACUACGGGAGGCAGCAGUGGGGAAUAUUGCGCAAUGGGCGAAAGCCUGACGCAGCGACGCCGCGUGAGGGAUGAAGGUCUUCGGAUCGUAAACCUCUGUCAGCAGGGAAGAACGGUCACUGUGCUAAUCAGCAGUGAAUUGACGGUACCGGCAAAGGAAGCACCGGCUAACCCCGUGCCAGCAGCCGCGGUAAUACGGAGGGGGCGAGCGUUAAUCGGAUUUACGGGGCGGAAAGCGCGCGUAGGCGGUAUGUCAAGUCAAGGGUGAAAUCCCCGCGCUCAACGUGGGAACUGCCUUUGACACUGGCAAACUGGCGUGUGUGAGAGGCUAGUGGAAUUCCAGGUGUCGGCGUGAAAUCCGUAGAUAUCUGGAGGAACAUCAGUGGCGACGGCGACUCUCUGGCACAUAACUGACGCUGUGGAGCG
rnacentral:rRNA from 1 species